AUUGAACGCUGGCGGCAGGCCUAACACAUGCAAGUCGAGCGGAUGAAGGGAGCUUGCUCCUGGAUUCAGCGGCGGACGGGUGAGUAAUGCCUAGGAAUCUGCCUGGUAGUGGGGGAUAACGUCCGGAAACGGGCGCUAAUAACGCAUACGUCCUGAGGGAGAAAGUGGGGGAUCUUCGGACCUCACGCUAUCAGAUGAGCCUAGGUCGGAUUAGCUAGUUGGUGGGGUAAAGGCCUACCAAGGCGACGAUCCGUAACUGGUCUGAGAGGAUGAUCAGUCACACUGGAACUGAGACACGGUCCAUACUCCUACGGGAGGCAGCAGUGGGGAAUAGUGGGCAAUGGGCGAAAGCCUGAUCCAGCCAUGCCGCGUGUGUGGAGAAGGUCUUCGGAUUGUAAAGCACUUUAAGUUGGGAGGAAGGGCAGUAAGUUAAUACCUUGCUGUUUUGACGGUACCAACAGAAUAAGCACCGGCUAACUUCGUG
rnacentral:rRNA from 1 species